rnacentral:rRNA from 1 species
GACGAACGCUGGCGGCGUGCUUAACACAUGCAAGUCGAACGGAAAGGCCCAGCUUGCUGGGUGCUCGAGUGGCGAACGGGUGAGUAACACGUGGGUGAUCUGUCUCUAACUUCGGGAUAAGCUUGGGAAACUGGGUCUAAUACCGGAUAGGACAAUCGUUUAGUGUCGGUUGUGGAAAGUUUUUUCGGUUAGGGAUGAGCCCGCGGCCUAUCAGCUUGUUGGUGGGGUAAUGGCCUACCAAGGCGUCGACGGGUAGCCGGCCUGAGAGGGUGGACGGCCACAUUGGGACUGAGAUACGGCCCAGACUCCUACGGGAGGCAGCAGUGGGGAAUAUUGCACAAUGGGCGCAAGCCUGAUGCAGCGACGCCGCGUGGGGGAUGACGGCCUUCGGGUUGUAAACCUCUUUCGACAGGGACGAAGCUUUGGUGACGGUACCUGGAUAAGAAGCACCGGCUAACUACGUG